AUAAAGAAUAAAAAAAACUUGUCUAUAUCCUGCCCCUGGUCAAAGUAGACUAAAGUGACCAGCUCUGAAAGAAGGGUGUAGUUAGCGGUCGGUGAAAUCUAUUUUAAUCCGGGAAAUAUUUCCGUAUUUCCGACAGUUGGUGAACGACAACGGUGCCUAAAAAGUGUGUGGCUUGAGAAUGUUAGCUUUCUGCAAAGCUCGGAGACCUGUUGCGAUUCAGGACCGUUCAUCGAUCAUCGCUUGCUGUUCGUGGCCAGACAUGCAAGUAUCACCAUGGUGCGUAUUUUGUCUGGAAACGAGAUACUUAUGCAUAUUCUUCGUAUGGUGGCAUCCGGAAACUAACGAAAACAAAAUUCAAGAAUUUUUACCCACCACGUUCCAGAAUACGAGGAUCUUAAAAACAUUACUUCACAGCUGAGCAUCCGAAAUUUUCCCUGAACAACGCGAUAGCUUUCUUCUUCAGAGAAUCCGAGGCAAAACUGAGAAAAGCUAUCAUUUUACUGAAUGAGCUGAAAUUCAUACUGGAUAAAGCCGCCGACACUCGCUGCCUAGAAUCAUAUGGAAGAACCAAAGGUGAAGAAAGCUUCCGUCAAGUGUAAGAGAAGGAACAGCACUAGCAUCCUAUUUCUGCUUCGGAUCAAGCAGUCUAGCGUAACACUAUCGGGAAUACCUUGUGCUACACUGUAUUCGUGACUCGCUGGCUUCCGUGCCUUAGUUGUAUAUUUAAGGCAUAGAAAAGUGUCCUCUUCGAACGGCGGGAUAACUUAACCUAGUAAUUUCAACUAUGACAUGAAUCCACUGGGGGCAUAUUCGUCGCUAGUGUACUUAAUUAUCCUGAUGAAGUGUGA